AGUGAACGCUGGCGGUAGGCCUAACACAUGCGAGUCGAACGGCAGCACAGUAAGAGCUUGCUCUUACGGGUGGCGAGUGGCGGACGGGUGAGGAAUACAUCGGAAUCUACUUUUUCGUGGGGGAUAACGUAGGGAAACUUACGCUAAUACCGCAUACGACCUACGGGUGAAAGCAGGGGAUCUUCGGACCUUGCGCGAUUGAAUGAGCCGAUGUCGGAUUAGCUAGUUGGCGGGGUAAAGGCCCACCAAGGCGACGAUCCGUAGCUGGUCUGAGAGGAUGAUCAGCCACACUGGAACUGAGACACGGUCCAGACUCCUACGGGAGGCAGCAGUGGGGAAUAUUGGACAAUGGGCGCAAGCCUGAUCCAGCCAUACCGCGUGGGUGAAGAAGGCCUUCGGGUUGUAAGACCCUUUUGUUGGGAAAGAAAAGCAGCAGGUUAAUACCCCGCUGUUCUGACGGUACCCAAAGAAUAAGCACCGGCUAACUUCGUG
rnacentral:rRNA from 1 species